AUAAGCCUUAAGUUAACUUUUUGUGUGGCAUAAACGCUGGGCUUGGGAAUGAAUUUACUACCUUUGCACUCCCUAUGUUGGCUUCUGGUUAAAUGCAGUCACCAUAAUUAGGAUAAAAAGAUGAAUUUAUUCUCUAUUUAUAGAAACAUUUAUCAAAGGAUUAAGGAAACUAUUUCUAAACCAGUAGACAUUAACUGUCUUACUUUCUCAGUGCAGAUAGGCAACUUUUUUUUUUUUUUUUUUUGAGAUGGAGUUUUGCUCUUGUUGCCUAGGCUGGAGUGCAAUGGUGCAAUCUCAGCUUACUGCAACCUCCACCUCCCGGGUCCAAGCAAUUCUGCCUCAGCCUCCCGAGUAGCUGAGAUUACAGGCAUGUGCCACCACGCCGGGCUAAUUUUGUAUUUUUAGUAGAGACGGGGUUUCUCAAUUGGUCAGGCUAGUCUCUUAACUCCUGACUUCAGGUGAUCCACCCACCUCAGCCUCCCAAAGUGCUGGGAUUACAGGUGUGAGCUACCAUGCCCAGCCAUAGGCAACAUUUUUAUUAAAACAGUCCAGAUACCUUGAGCCUCAAAGACCAUAAUCAUGUCUUUUGAUCCCAUCUGCUUCCUAAGAAAAGGAAAAAAUCCAUAUACAUGCAUGGCAGGAGGGCAUAUGAUAGGUCCCCUCUAGGGGAUAGAAGCUCUUCCUGCUGGGCCUUCUAUCACACCUGUCCAUAUUAAAAAGUCUCUGAUGAAAAUGUUUUGAUAUUACUGUAAAUAGCUAAAGCAUUUAAAGACUUUAGAAGUCACUUGGGUUUUUUCUUAUGCGUAAGUUGGCUUGCAUCUGGCUUUCUACUUUUGCCUCCAGUGUUAGAGAACAUGUCUUUUGGAGCAGCCUGUUAGUUUUAAAUAUCUCUUGUUAGAAAUUUAGCCAUUCAUCCAAUAUUGCUAUGGAGAAGUGCCUACUCUAGUGCAGACACUGGGAAUGCAAAACUAAAUAAGAUUACUACACAUAGGAAAUUAGUUUUAAAAUAUACGAACCUACAUAUUACCCCAAGCCAUUUCUGCUAUCUAGGGUCAUAUUAAAUAAACCUAAACCGUAAUCCAUAUGUUGGCCCUUCACAUAUUGAAAAUAGCAUAUAGUGGAGAAUCAUAUAAAAUAAUUGAAUGGAGCAGCCAUCCAAGUGUAAUGAAGAUUCAUGAGGAGGGCAGCAAAGGAAAUGGAGAAAAUAUAUAGAUAUUUUGUAUACAGAUUUAAAUUAUAUCUGCUAAUCACAAGGUAGUGGCACAAAGAUCAGGGCCAAAAGUGUUUUGCUUAGGUAGCUAGGAUAUAUAGGACAGCCUGAGAAGUCUGGAUAACUUCUCAGACUUCAUGAGAUAACUGUACAAGCUGGUAACAUAUCUGUCCGCCAGUGAUAUCCAUUGGACUGAGGGAGUUACAUUAGCUGGACCAACCACAAGUACUUCUAUGUCAACUUGCUGUUGCUAAAAGAAAAAUAUGAUGUGUCUCAAAUAAUUUUAAGUAAAGUUGAGUUUAUGACUACAUAUUUGAGUCUGCUAAUUUCAUGCAGUUUGCCAAGCUCUUCCUUUCAAUUAGCAGCAGCAGUGAGACUUACUGUAAAAGUUUGCAACUGAGACCAAGAAAUGGAAAGGAUGAGGAUAUACCACAGUGACCUGACACUUGCUGGCUUCCCGUCUUCUGUGAGAGCUGUGACCAGCUAUUCUCAAUGAGCUGUGGAAAAUGAAUGCCUGUUUUUUGGUUUUUUUUUUUUGACACAGGGUUUCACUCUUGCCCAGGCUGGAGUGCAGGGGCAUGAUCUUGGCUCACCGCAGCCUUGACCUCCCAGGUUCAAGCCAUCCUCCCACCUCAGCCUCAUCAGUAGCUGUGGACUACAGGAAGCCACUGGAAGAUGUGCUUCACCAAAAUGAGGGAGUAAUCUGAGAAGGCAUGGGAUCCUGAAACUAAAAGAUGUCACAAAAGAAAACGAGGAAAGUCCCAGGAUGACUACUGUGCCAAGUAAGUGGGAUGGAGGUUCCAGGAAGUAGGUCUCUAGGAAAACUGGGAACAAAGUAUUUGAGUACAAUGGAAAGUGUAUAAAUGAGCAGGAAAUUUGAAAUUUUAUUUCUUAGAAAGUAAUGUUAUUUAGUAAUCAGUUUUUAAAAAUUUGAAAUUAAAAGUAUAGGCUAGUUGGCGUCUUGUCAGCUAUAAUUAGAUUGGUCCUUACGGCAUAAUACUCCACAAUUGCAGUAGAUGCUGACUUCAAUAAGAUGUGUGCCGCAGAAGAUAUUUUUAGAAAAUAAAAAGUUUUUCAAUUUGUUUUGUAUUUGAUUUGCUUAGAGAAAUCUCAAUUUUGUAUUUAUUUACAGAAAUAAUGCAUAGUCUAUAGCAGUAAUUUCAGCAAGCUUUUUGUUUAAAUUUUAGCCUCUGUAGAAUCAAAAACAUAAAGAAUUACAGGUUGACCAUUCCUAAUCCAAAAAUUAAAAUCUGAAAUGCUCCAUAAUCCAAAACUUUUUGAGUGCCAACAUGACCGCACAAAUGGAGAAUUUCACACCUGACCUCAUGUGACAGGUCAGUCAAAACAAAGGCACACAAUACACAGUUUAUUAAAACUAUUGUAUAAAAUUACUUUCAAGCUAUGUAUAUAUGAAAAAUGAAUGAAUGUCAUGUUUAGACAUCCCAUCCCAAAGAUAUCUCAUUAUGUAUACAUAAAUAUUCCAAAAUCUGAAAAAGUUAAAUCUGAAGCACUUCUGUUCCCACACAUUUCAGAUAAGGGAUACUCAACCUGUAUCUACUUUUUAAAAAUAAUAUUCUGAAAUUCAAUACUGUUUUUCAUCUUCCACGCUAUUUUUGCUAUCAAGAUAUGGUUACAUACAGUGGCUGGUCCAUAAUAUAUUCCUAUAUAAUAUUUGAAAUGUUUCCUUAUGAGUUAUGAUUCAGGGUUUUUUUCUAUGCUUUGUUUAUAUUAAUAUUACAUAAUCUCAGAAUGAGUUUUUAUUUACUUGCAAGUGAUAUGUAUGCUGAUAGGUUUUUCUCUCUGUCAUCAAAUCUAUUGAGUAAACCAUGCCAGGUUUGUCCAUCUCCUUUUUUCUAAGUAAGAAAUCACAUAUAUACAGUAAAUAGAGUGCACUAAUCAUAAGUGUACUUGAUUUUUUACAUAUGUAUACAUUCAUAUCAAGAUCAUAUAAAAAUGUAUACACUCAGAUUAAAGUAUUAAAAAUUUCAAAUUCUCUUGUGCCCUUUCCUAGUCUAUACAUCUCCCAGAAAUAACUCCUCUUUUCUAAAGAUCUGUUAGUUUUGCUUGUUCUCAGAUUUCAUGUGAAUGGAAUCAUACUGUAUAUAUUGUUUUAUGCCUGGCUUCUUUCAGCAACGUGCUUGUUCUUUUUUUAUUGUUAUAGACUAUUUGAUUAUAUGAAUAUAUCAUAAUUCAUUUAUCCUUUUACCUGUUGACAUUUAAGUUAUUGCCAAUUUUUUGUUAUUAUGAAUAAAGCUAUAAUAAACA